AUUUUUGCGCUUGGGGCAAUGAUGCAGCUAGUGAGGUUAUACCGUGUCAAUUGCUGGUUGAAAACUAUUUCCAAACCCCCUCAGCCUGAGUUCUGCUUGGGCUGUUGAGAAUUUCUGGAAAGGGUCCCGCUAAACAAGGGUAAAUCC